rnacentral:rRNA from 1 species
UACGUAGGGGCGCAAGCGUUGUCCGGAAUUAUUGGGCGUAAAGAGCUCGUAGGCGGCUUGUCACGUCGAUUGUGAAAGCCCCGAGGCUUAACCUCGGGUCUGCAGUCGAUACGGGGCUAGCUAGAGUGUGGUAGGGGGAGAUCGGAAUUCCUGGUGUAGCGGUGAAAAUGCGCAGAUAUCAGGAGGAACACCGGUGGCGAAGGCGGAUCUCUGGGCCAUUACUGACGCUGAGGAGCGAAAAGCGUGGGGGAGCGAACAGG